rnacentral:rRNA from 1 species
UAGUCCACGCCCUAAACCAUGUCAACUGGGUGUUCGGGAAGCGAUUUCUGAGUACCGUAGCUAACGCGUGAAGUUGACCGCCUGGGGAGUACGGCCGCAAGGUUAAAACUCAAAGGAAUUGACGGGGACCCGCACAAGCGGUGGAUGAUGUGGAUUAAUUCGAUGCAACGCGAACAACCUUACCUACCCUUGACAUGUCCGAGAGCCUGCUGAGAGGCGGGUGUGCCCGAAAGGGAAUCGGAACAC